rnacentral:rRNA from 1 species
GACGAACCGAGCGAACGUUUAUUCGGAAUCACUGGGCUUAAAGGGCUCGUAGGCGGCCAACUAAGUCAGACGUGAAAUCCCUCGGCUUAACCGGGGAACUGCGUCUGAUACUGGAUGGCUUGAGAUUGGGAGAGGGAUGCGGAAUUCCAGGUGUAGCGGUGAAAUGCGUAGAUAUCUGGAGGAACACCGGUGGCGAAGGCGGCAUCCUGGACCAACACUGACGCUGAGUGAGCGAAAGCCAGGGGAGCAAACGGG